rnacentral:misc_RNA from 1 species
UCACGUCUUACGACGGCAGUUUCACUAGAGUUCCCAGCGUUACCUGAUGGCAACUAGUGAUGGGGGUUGCGCUCGUUGCGGGACUUAACCCAACACCUCACGGCACGAGCUGACGACAGCCAUGCACCACCUGUGCAGAAGUCCCUUGCGGGAGGCUCUGGCUUUCACCAAAGUUUCCUCUACAUGUCAAACCCAGGUAAGGUUCUUCGCGUUGCCUCGAAUUAAACCACACGCUCCGCUGCUUGUGCGGGCCCCCGCCUAUUCCUUUGAGUUUUAACCUUGCGGCCGUAGUCCCCAGGCGGUGAACUUAAUGCGUUAGCUGCGGCACUGAUCGGGUCAAUCCGACCAACACCUAGUUCACAACGUUUAGGGCGUGGACUAC